UAAUUGAUUACAGUAGUAGCUCAUAUAUUAUAAAUGAAAUCUAUAUUGUUCCUUUCAUCAUAACCUAUUUUUCUUUUGGGUAAGAGUUAUAAUUCCAGUCAUCACCUCAAGCUUGCUUUGGUUACUAUUCUGACUUGAAGUUUCAUCAAGAAUUGGUGGAAACUUAUUAGGCACCCUUUAUCUUCUAAGAUGGCUAGAAAAUGUCGUUUCAUGAAAAAACCAAAGUUAGGACCAGGAUGUCAGCAACCACAAACGGCUCCACCUCCGGUCUCGACUUCCCACCACAAUGACUUUGGAAUUCUCCCAGACAGUGGUGAUAGUGUCCCUCCAACUUCACGCCCAUUCCUUCUGCCGCGCAGUGUACCAAGGCCUGCUCCACAAACGAGCACAAAUAAUAUUCAGAACUCAGAGCCAAGCCAUGUAAACUCCGUGGAUAAUGCCAAUGAUGUAGAUUCUGUUGAUCAACAAGUUGAUGACUCCUUUAUUGAUUCUAGAGCUCAAAAUCGCAAAGGACGCAAGACUAUAGAGUUUUGAGAAGUCAGGAUAAUCGAUUCCGAUGGCACAAUCAAGCCGGCAAGACUAAGCAUGAGGGAGGCUAUGGAACGGCCUAACGGUAGAAAGAUCAUGCUCAGGUUCAACAAUGCAAAGCAAGCAAUUGAAAACGAAGCUGGACUGUUGAGUGGCGUGCUUGGUCUGCUAGGAUCUGACUUUGAAAAAUUUCCUAUUUGUGAGGAAAGUUGGCGUAAGAUUACCACUAAGGACAAAGUUUAUAACAAAUGUGUGAAGCAAAUUUUCCACUUUGAUGAAGAUAGCGAAGGAACUAUCAAGAAAAAUAUUUUGAAAAGUAUGGGGAAGUCUUGGAAGAAAAUAAGGCUGAGGUUGUAUAAUGCUUAUUUCGAGCCAACGUUCAUGACUGAACAAAAUAUUGAGAACCGUCCGCCGGGAAUUGAUCAAGAGCAUUGGAGAUGGUUCCUUGACUAUCGUGCCAAAGCUGAGAUGAAGGAGAAGUGCAGGAAAAAUGCGAAGAAUCGAUCAAAGCAACUAUAUACCCACACAGGCGGUUCAAAAAGCUUUGCACGACGGAUGGAAGAAGAUGUACUUUACAUUUUGUUAUUCAUUCUUUGGACUAUUUCUGUGACUUAAGGUUGCCUUGAUUGUGUUAAUUACGGUAAUGGCAUAAAAUUUGUUGAUACAGUCGGAACAACAAAGGAGAAUAGUCGGUAGAGGAGAGUUAUAGAUCAAGUGCACAAAAAAAAAAAGAUGGCUCCUAUAUGAAUGAUGAAGCAAGAGCUAUCAAUGAAAGAAUUGAGGAGAUUAAGCAACAUGAUGAGUCAUCUAGGGUGUUGUCUCAAAAUGAUUCCAUCGCUCAGGUUUUCGGAAAAGAGAAACCAGGUAGAGUACGUGAUGUGGGUUUUGGACCGACUCCUAGUUAACUCUUCGGUCUAAAUUCACAUGCGCCUGGCAACGGAGUCCAACUAGAGGAGACUCAGAGGAAACUACUUGAACUGCACGCAGAGCUGAAAGGCGAGAAGUUGAAGAGGAAGGCGAUGGAGGAUGAGGCAGCAGCAGAGAAGAAAAAGAUGAAGGCGAUGGAAAGUGCUCUAAUUUAUCUGUUUCAACGGCAAGGUGAGGAGCUGCCACCAGACAUUGCUGCAAGGGAUGAGUUUCGUGGAGUGAUAGAGUGAAAAAUAGAAUAUUAGGUUUGGAGAUAUUUUGUAUUGAAGCAAACAUUUUAUUGAAUUAGACUGAGCAACUCUUUGAAAGAGAUUUCUUUUUGUUCGUAUUUUGAUGGAUAUAUAUUUCUUGUUUUGCUUA